rnacentral:rRNA from 1 species
AUUGAACGCUGGCGGCAUGCUUUACACAUGCAAGUCGAACGGUAACAGGCCGCAAGGUGCUGACGAGUGGCGAACGGGUGAGUAAUGCAUCGGAACGUGCCCAGUCGUGGGGGAUAACGCAGCGAAAGCUGCGCUAAUACCGCAUACGAUCUGUGGAUGAAAGCGGGGGACCGUAAGGCCUCGCGCGAUUGGAGCGGCCGAUGUCAGAUUAGGUAGUUGGUGGGGUAAAGGCUCACCAAGCCGACGAUCUGUAGCUGGUCUGAGAGGACGACCAGCCACACUGGGACUGAGCCACGGCCCAGACUCCUACGGGAGGCAGCAGUGGGGAAUUUUGGACAAUGGGGGCAACCCUGAUCCAGCAAUGCCGCGUGCAGGAAGAAGGCCUUCGGGUUGUAAACUGCUUUUGUACGGAACGAAACGGCUCUGGUUAAUACCUGGGGCUAAUGACGGUACCGUAAGAAUAAGCACCGGCUAACUACGUGCCAGCAGCCGCCGUAAAAC